UGGUAGCCCAGUGGUUACAGCUUUUGGCUGCUGCUCAGAUGGUUGUGAGUUCAAAUCCCAGUAGUGCCAA